UACGUAGGGCGCAAGCGUUAUCCGGAAUUAUUGGGCGUAAAGAGCUCGUAGGCGGUUUGUCGCGUCUGCCGUGAAAUCCCGAGGCUCAACCUCGGGUCUGCAGUCGAUACGAGCAAACUAGAGUGUUGCAGGGGAGACUGGAAUUCCUGGUGUAGCGGUGAAAUGCGCAGAUAUCAGGAGGAACACCGGUGGCGAAGGCGGGUCUCUGGGCAACAACUGACGCUGGAGGAGCGAAAGCCGUGGGGAGCGAACAGG
rnacentral:rRNA from 1 species